UGGCUGUGACUUCUCAGAACCCAUGC
rnacentral:piRNA from 1 species